rnacentral:rRNA from 1 species
UACGGGGGGGGCAAGCGUUGUUCGGAAUUACUGGGCGUAAAGCGCGUGUAGGCGGCCAGAUAGGUCUGCUGUGAAAACUCGAGGCUCAACCUCGAGCUGUCGGCGGAAACCAUCUGGCUAGAGUCCGGAAGAGGAGAGUGGAAUUCCUGGUGUAGCGGUGAAAUGCGCAGAUAUCAGGAAGAACACCUAUGGCGAAGGCAGCUCUCUGGGACGGUACUGACGCUGAGACGCGAAAGCGUGGGGAGCGAACAGG